rnacentral:piRNA from 1 species
UCAACUCUAUCUACUCUUGGAAG